GAUCAUGGCUCAAGAUGAACGCUAGCUACAGGCUUAACACAUGCAAGUCGAGGGGCAGCAUGAACUUAGCUUGCUAAGUUUGAUGGCGACCGACGCACGGGUGAGUAACACGUAUCCAACCUUCCGUUUACUCAGGGAUAGCCUUUCGAAAGAAAGAUUAAUACCUGAUAGUACGGUGAGAUUGCAUGAUAACACCAUUAAAGAUUUAUUGGUAAACGAUGGGGAUGCGUUCCAUUAGGUAG
rnacentral:rRNA from 1 species